AUGUUAAAUGCUGGCUUCUAUCAAUGUUAUAACGGAACCGCAAAAGGUGGAGAGGAAGAAAAGGAAGGUGACAAACUGAAGAAGGAAUUGUUGAACUUUCCUUGGGCACGCUCCCGAUCGAGCUCACCAAAUAUCCUUCACAGAUCGAGAUCCAAGGAGGAAUGCGCUUCUCUCUUGGAGGAUGAUGAUGACGACGGCGACGAGGCCGCAGACGACUCCGCUCCGGCUGCACCGUGCUGGGGCAAUUCCAGCGACCUAAACUGUGUCGGCCUUUGCCAUCCCGGCAUCCGCAGCGACAAUGCGUUGGCAUCGUUGCUUGACUCGCCGCCGUGGGUGUGCGGGUUGUCGAGGUUGACUCCGAACAGACGCACGCGCUUCGCGGCCGCCGUCGGGCUGUUGACGAGUGGCGUCGAAUCGAGGACCAUGGGCAUGCCGACCGUGACCGGCGGGCUCGGUUGCACCGCAAUGUGCAGCGGAGGUUGCGGCUGCGGAGGCGGCAUGGUCGCGUGCGGGAAAAUUCCCGCGGAGCCGAAGUAG
rnacentral:rRNA from 1 species